GGCCCUAUCGUCUAUCGGCUAGGACGCCACCCUUUCACGGUGGAAAGGCGGGUUCGAUUCCCGCUAGGGUCA
rnacentral:tRNA from 1 species